CUACGGGCGGCUGCAGUGAGGAAUAUUGCACAAUGGAGGAAACUCUGAUGCAGCAACGCCGCGUGGAGGAUGACGCAUUUCGGUGUGUAAACUCCUUUUAUGAGUCAAGAAAAUGACGGUAGCUCAUGAAUAAGCACCGGCUAACUCCGUGCCAGCAGCCGCGGUAAUACGGAGGGUGCAAGCGUUACUCGGAAUCACUGGGCGUAAAGGACGCGUAGGCGGGAUAUCAAGUCAGGUGUGAAAUCCUACAGCUUAACUGUAGAACUGCACUUGAAACUGGUAACCUAGAGUAUGGGAGGGGGAGAUGGAAUUAGUGGUGUAGGGGUAAAAUCCGUAGAUAUCACUAGGAAUACCUAAAGCGAAGGCGAUCUCCUGGAACAUAACUGACGCUAAGGCGUGAAAGCGUGGGGAGCAAACAGGAUUAGAUACCCCGGUAGUC
rnacentral:rRNA from 1 species